GACGAACGCUGGCGGCGUGCUUAACACAUGCAAGUCGAACGAAGAGCGAUGGAAGCUUGCUUCUAUCAAUCUUAGUGGCGCACGGGUGAGUAACGCGUAAUCAACCUGCCCUUCAGAGGGGGACAACAGUUGGAAACGACUGCUAAUACCGCAUACGAUCUAAUCUCGGCAUCGAGGAUAGAUGAAAGGUGGCCUCUACAUGUAAGCUAUCACUGAAGGAGGGGAUUGCGUCUGAUGAGCUAGUUGGAGGGGUAACGGCCCACCAAGGCGAUGAUCAGUAGCCGGUCUGAGAGGAUGAACGGCCACAUUGGGACUGAGACACGGCCCAGACUCCUACGGGAGGCAGCAGUGGGGAAUCUUCCGCAAUGGACGAAAGUCUGACGGAGCAACGCCGCGUGAGUGAUGACGGCCUUCGGGUUGUAAAGCUCUGUUAAUCGGGACGAAAGGCCUUCUUGCGAAUAGUGAGAAUGAUUGACGGUACCGGAAUAGAAAGCCACGGCUAACUACGUG
rnacentral:rRNA from 1 species